GACGAACGCUGGCGGCGUGCUUAACACAUGCAAGUCGAACGGAAAGGCCCUGCUUUUGUGGGGUGCUCGAGUGGCGAACGGGUGAGUAACACGUGAGUAACCUGCCCUUGACUUUGGGAUAACUUCAGGAAACUGGGGCUAAUACCGGAUAGGAGCUCCUGCUGCAUGGUGGGGGUUGGAAAGUUUCGGCGGUUGGGGAUGGACUCGCGGCUUAUCAGCUUGUUGGUGGGGUAGUGGCUUACCAAGGCUUUGACGGGUAGCCGGCCUGAGAGGGUGACCGGCCACCUUGGGACUGAGAUACGGCCCAGACUCCUACGGGAGGCAGCAGUGGGGAAUAUUGCACAAUGGGCGGAAGCCUGAUGCCGCAACGCCGCGUUCGGGAUGACGGCCUUCGGGUUGUAAACCGCUUUCGCCUGUGACGAAGCGUGAGUGACGGUAAUGGGUAAAGAAGCACCGGCUAACUACGUG
rnacentral:rRNA from 1 species